rnacentral:rRNA from 1 species
AGCUCCAAUAGCGUAUAUUUAAGUUGUUGCAGUUAAAAAGCUCGUAGUUGAACCUUGGGCCUAGCCGGCCGGUCCGCCUCACCGCGUGCACUGGCUCGGUUGGGCCUUUCCUUCUGGAGAACCGCAUGCCCUUCACUGGGUGUGCUGGGGAACCAGGACUUUUACUCUGAACAAAUUAGAUCGCUUAAAGAAGGCCUAUGCUCGAAUACAUUAGCAUGGAAUAAUAGAAUAGGACGUGCAGUUCUAUUUUGUUGGUUUCUAGGACCGCCGUAAUGAUUAAUAGGGACAGUCGGGGGCAUCAGUAUUCAAUCGUCAGAGGUGAAAUUCUUGGAUUGAUUGAAGACUAACUACUGCGAAAGCAUUUGCCAAGGAUGUUUUCA